rnacentral:rRNA from 1 species
UACGGAGGGGGCGAGCGUUAUUCGGAAUUAUUGGGCGUAAAGGGCGCGUAGGCGGCCUUGUAAGUCAAAGGUGAAAUCCCUCGGCUCAACUGAGGAACUGCCUUUGAAACUGCAAGGCUUGAGGCCGGGAGGGGGUAGCGGAAUUCCCAAUGUAGCGGUGAAAUGCGUAGAUAUUGGGAGGAACACCAGUGGCGAAGGCGGGUCUCUGGGCCGAUACUGACGCUGAGGCGCGAAAGCGUGGGGAGCAAACAGG